rnacentral:tRNA from 1 species
UAGAUUGAAGCCCGCUGGAUUGGGUUUUUAGUUGUUAACUAAAGGUUUAUGGGAUCGAGGCCCGUCGAUCUAK